AGUCUGGUGCCAGCACCCGCGGUAAUUCCAGCUCCAAAAGCAUAUACUAAAAUUGCUGUAGUUAAAACGCUCGUAGUUUAUACAAGGGAUGCAAUUUGUAUGUUUCAGACUAUUGCUAGUUGCUGGCAAAUUCGUUUAUCGAUUAGUUAGUAACCAAGCGUAGUCUUUGCUUGGUUUUCCAAGUAAGCACGUUAGUGCCAAGGGUUUUGGGUCUCUUCUUACCAAAAAGUCUUGGCAUGUGUGGGGCAUAGAUUGCGUUCUGAUUCGAACCGUGAACAAAUUAAAGUGUUUAAAGCGGGCAUUGUACGUUCUUUGAACGUUUUGCUUGAAUAAUUUAGCAUGGGACUCAUUUUCCUUGCAAAAGGAUAAGAAAAAGGAGCCAGGAAGAGGACUCUGGUAUUGCGCGUUUAGAGGUGAAAUUCCGACAUCUUCGCAGGACGAACGGAGGCGUAGGCUGUCAUUGCCCAUCACAUCUCUAUUGAUCAGGAACGAAAGUCAGGGGAUCGAAGAUGAUUAGAUACCGUCGUAGUCCUGACCGUAAACGAUACUAACUCGAGUUUGUAUGUAACAGUUUUUCAAAAAUUGAUACAGAAUCCAAGGGAAACCGUUAAGUCUUUGGGUUCUGGGGGGAGUAUAGUCGCAAGGCCGAAACUUAAAGGAAUUGACGGAAAGACACCACCAGGAGUGGAGUUUGCGGCUUAAUUCGACCCAACGCGGGAAAACUCACCAGGAUAGGACAGAAUGAGGAUUGACAGGUUGAAUAUGGUCCUUUCUUGAUUUUUUGGAAGGUGGUGCAUGGCCGUUCUUAGUUCGUGGAGUGAUCUGUCUACUUAAUUGUGUUAACGAACGAGACCUUAACCUGUUAACUAGGCACUAGUUGAAUUUUAUUCAUGGGUUUCUUACGAAAUCUAGGUCAUUCGGGUUUUACCCGAGCUUCUUAAAGGGACAAUACUGUGUAUUUUAUAUUUUAGCGUAGGGAAGUUUAAGGCAAUAACAGGUCUGUGAUGCCCUGAGAUAUCCUGGGCGGCACGCGUACUACAAUGUCAUUGACAACAGGCUUCCCGCUUCGGCGGGCCUCUACCAAAAUGUAGAGGAAAACGUGUCAAACACUUAUAUGACUGGGAUAGCUGUUUGUAAUUACAUCUUAAACGAGGAAUUCCUAGUAAGCGCAAGUCAUCAUCUUGCAUUGAUUACGUCCCUGUCUUUUGUACACACCGCCCGUCGCUCCUACCGAUUGGAUAGCAAGGUGAACUUGAUGGACUCUAACGAGAAAAUUUAUUAAACCUUUCCAUCUCUA
rnacentral:rRNA from 1 species